rnacentral:rRNA from 1 species
AACGCGAAGAACCUUACCUACCCUUGACAUGUACGGAAGCCUGCUGAGAGGUGGGCGUGCCCGAAAGGGAGCCGUAACACAGGUGCUGCAUGACUGUCGUCAGCUCGUGUCGUGAGAUGUUGGGUUAAGUCCCGCAACGAGCGCAACCCUUGUCACUAGUUGCUACGCAAGGGCACUCUAGUGAGACUGCCGGUGACAAACCGGAGGAAGGUGGGGAUGACGUCAAGUCCUCAUGGCCCUUAUGGGUAGGGCUUCACACGUCAUACAAUGGCGCAUACAGAGGGCUGCCAACCCGCGAGGGGGAGCCAAUCCCAGAAAGUGCGUCGUAGUCCGGAUUGCAGUCUGCAACCCGACUGCAUGAAGUCGGAAUCGCUAGUAAUCGCGGAUCAGCAAUGUCGCGGUGAAUACGUUCCCGGGUCUGUACACACCG